rnacentral:rRNA from 1 species
CCUACGGGAGACAGCAGUGGGGAAUAUUGCACAAUGGGGGAAACCCUGAUGCAGCGACGCCGCGUGAGUGAAGAAGGAAUUCGUUAUGUAAAGCCCUAUCAGCAGGGAAGAAAAUGACGGUACCUGAGUAAGAAGCCCCGGCUAACAACGAGCCAGAAGCCUCGGUAAUACGAAGGGGGCAAGCGUUAUCCGGAUUUACUGGGUGUAAAGGGGGCGUAGACGGCAGUGCAAGUCUGGAGUGAAAGGCGGGGGCUCAACCCCCGGACUGCUCUGGAAACUGUACGGCUGGAGUGCGGGAGAGGUAAGUGGAAUUCCUAGUGUAGCGGUGAAAUGCGUAGAUAUUAGGAGGAACCCCAGUGGCGAAGGCGGCUUACUGGACUGUAACUGACGUUGAGGCUCGAAAGCGUGGGGAGCAAACAGGAUUAGAUACCCUAGUAGUC